AAAGUCGAAAAUUUUUCCUAA
rnacentral:miRNA from 1 species